AGGGAAAGAGGGAGGGAGGCCUAACACAUGCAAGUCGAACGGCAGCACAGUAAGAGCUUGCUCUUACGGGUGGCGAGUGGCGGACGGGUGAGGAAUACAUCGGAAUCUACUUUUUCGUGGGGGAUAACGUAGGGAAACUUACGCUAAUACCGCAUACGACCUACGGGUGAAAGCAGGGGAUCUUCGGACCUUGCGCGAUUGAAUGAGCCGAUGUCGGAUUAGCUAGUUGGCGGGGUAAAGGCCCACCAAGGCGACGAUCCGUAGCUGGUCUGAGAGGAUGAUCAGCCACACUGGAACUGAGACACGGUCCAGACUCCUACGGGAGGCAGCAGUGGGGAAUAUUGGACAAUGGGCGCAAGCCUGAUCCAGCCAUACCGCGUGGGUGAAGAAGGCCUUCGGGUUGUAAAGCCCUUUUGUUGGGAAAGAAAAGCAGCAGGUUAAUACCCCGCUGUUCUGACGGUACCCAAAGAAUAAGCACCGGCUAACUUCGUG
rnacentral:rRNA from 1 species